rnacentral:rRNA from 1 species
CAAAUGACUCUCGGCAACGGAUAUCUCGGCUCACGCAUCGAUGAAGAACGUAGCAAAAUGCGAUACUUGGUGUGAAUUGCAGAAUCCCGUGAACCAUCGAGUUUUUGAACGCAAGUUGCGCCCGAAGCCUUUUGGCUGAGGGC